rnacentral:tmRNA from 1 species
GGGGAUGAAAGGAUUUCGACGGGGAUUAAGAAAUAUCAUAAGCAUGCGGCAGCGCACGACUGCCUCAAAAACGGGCGCUUAAAUUUUAAAGGACAAAAACGAAACUGUUCUUUGCGCUGCUUAAUUAAAUAGCAGCGCCGUUCGGCCGAGGCACCGCGACUCGGGGUCCGGGCGUCACCAGCGGUAAAGGUGCACAGGUGAGUGGCUCGUAGCCUGUCAUCAAUCAGAGCCUACCGAUUCUCUCAGCUUGUUUGUGAGCGGUGAGAAAAGGGAAUGCUAAAGCAUAAACUAAGCAUGUAGAAAGUGGUAUGGGCGAAUUUUCGGACGCGGUUUCGAUUACCGCCAUCUCCACCA